UUUUUGUUUACCCGCUUUUUGUUAUUCUAAUGUAAGUUCAGAUAUACAAAAUGCUAAUUUUCUUUUACAUAAAAAUGUAAUAAAACUUUCUGGCUUUCUUUAUAAACAAAUUUCAGCAGGAAUGUUGAUGGGAUGCUGUAUACCAAGUAAAGAAGAAAUACUGUUUAAUUAUCUUCCAUAUAAAAUCCAAUAAAACGUUCUGGCUUUUCUUAUUUUUCUGUACUGGGGAUUAACAUCAGUGUCUUUGUGAUGAGAAAUCUGCAUUCAUGGCUCCUCUAUUUAGAUUUAAAUAGGAAUUAUAGUUCUUGGCAGAAAGGGAUCUGUCAAAUAUCACAGCAUUUGUGGCAGGUGGUCACUGCAUUGCUUAGUACAGACACUGCCUGCUUAACCAUAGCCUGAAGUAAACAUCAAAAGUCAAUUAUUCUCUUUGUAAAUAUUUUAUUUAUAUUUUGGAGGCUAACAAACAUCUUUUCAGUGCUUGGCUGAGACCUUCCUCCACAGAUCAUAAUCCUACUGAACCUGCAUUUGGGUGGUUAAGAAUGUGUUUAGCAAUCCAGGGAUACCAGCUUAGCUACCACUGUAUACUGGGUUUCAUAACCCAAUUCUCUGCUUCAAAACCUUUAAUGACUUGGCUGGGUUGAAGUGGACAGAGCUAAAACUUGUCAUGGUUGUUACCACUGCAGCUGCCAAUUAGUGCGACAACCAUGUAUUACUUUGCCUUUCCUCAGUUAAACUGUAUUUUGAAUAUAAAUAAUGAGAAAGAAAAAAAAAACAAACAGGAUCCAUUUCCUUGGAUUUAACACUUUGGGGGUGGGAAAAGCAGGAGGUCUGGUUUUAACAGCAAGAUAAGCAUGUACAUAGCGGCCCUGCAGUGGCAACUUGAAUGCACAUUGAGUAGCAAAUAUGGAACAAGAGCUGAACUCUGAGGGUCAAAUGCCUUGAAGAAAUGUCUUGUUGCAGGGUGAACCUACUAAAAUAAAAUGACAGUAUCUGGCAAGUUAUGCAUACAUGGCAGAAUCUCUCCUCAAACCACUAUGGUGUGGAAAACGUCUAAAGAUGCUGCAACACAUUUUAGAUCCUUAUUUGAACUCUGUCUGAACUCUUCGGACCAUUAACUAAUCAGAUCAUCUCAUUUAAACAAUGUUAUAAAAAUAAUCAAAUACUUCUGCCUGCAUAAAUAUACUUUGAAUAUAUUUACCUUAAAGAACCGGGAUUUCUUGGGUGUUUACUCCUGACAUUCUGGAAACAGAAGGAGCACAAAAUGUUAAGGAGGAGCAGAAUUCUCUGAGAUGGGGCUCUGGGUAAUUUUCCCUGUAAGCCUGUUUGGUGGCAAGUUAAUUGACUCCCACAUUACCGAAACUGCAGCGUACUAAAGCACUGGGUGCUCGUUUUGCUGCACUAUUUGACUGGCAAAGGCCAUCUGUUCUAUCCCAUCCAUCCACAUACACAGCGUCUAUUGUUGUCAACAGGAUUCACAUACACGUGGAUCAAGGCAAGCAUGUGCCUCAAACUGUUUUGAUCCCUAGAACAUGGAUUUUUCAUUUUCUUUGUUUCUUUGUGCUCACCCAGUAAUAAUACUUGUCAUCUGAGAAUUCAUAUUGAUCUUGUCAUUGCCUUAAAAUUGGAUGACAAUUACUAUCUCUGUCAAAAUUCGAUCUGAUGAAAUGGCUCCAAUUAGGAAGGAAAAAGAAGGAAUCCAUCACAGUGGGGAGCACUGCAUUUGGCUUUAGAGUAGGAAAGCUUAUCUUAAAGGGGAACUGUUGGAAGAAGCAAAUGGGAACAAGCUUGACAGAUAUUAGGGCACCAGUCUCAAAAUCCAUAGAAAUUCAGUAUACAUAUGAAAUGAAUAGCCAUUUAAUAUUUGCAGUCCGUAUCUGUCUGCAAUCUGAGUUGAAGCUCCUCUGACAAUAAAUGCCAGUAACUGUUGUUUUCAUUUUCUGAUCUGGUCAGACACACAGUGGCAGUUGACGCCAGGCUUCCUACAUUUUCAAAUCCAGUUCUGAUCACCAGUGUAAUUAUAAUACAUUAUCAAGAGUAGAUUUGCUGAAGUUUGUGAAAUGAUAAAAGCAUAAAUUACAUCUUUUUUCCAGAUACUGAUCUUACCUUGAAACUAAAUGGGAAGAUGCAGUGAAAGAAUUGAAAACAAAAGAGCAAGUGCACUUCCAUUACUACUGAUAUUGACACUAAAGCAAAUAACUUAUCCCUGCCAAUUACAAAUAAAAUUGUGCUAAUUACAGAUUUUUUGGUUUAUAAAUCAGCCCUGAAAAAUUAGUGUGUGCAUUUAUGUGUGUGUAGGGGUGGGGAAAUCUUUUUCAAAACCAAAGAUGUUUGUUUCAUAUAAAGUUAAUGUUUUAUUCAACUGAAAAAACCUGACACUGUUCUGUUUCUGAGGUCAGGUCCACCUGUAAUUCCGUGUAGGUCUUACCUGGGAGCAGACAGAAGGAUGCUCAGCCCUCCUCAAAGGACUGGAAGUCUCCGCCCACCCAGCAGAAUCAUCUCAGCUGAAGGCCAUUCGUGCAUUGGUUUCUCUGAAUCGGCCCAGUAAAUGCUGUUUCUUCACAAAUAAAAGUAUGGCAGGAACUGGCUUUUCAAUUUGUACAAUUAUUGAGCUUCUGAACAUGAGACUGCACAGUUUACAUCCCUGGAAAAUCAUGUUUUCUUAACUAUAUGGAAGAGCUCCUCAAGACACUGAGGGAACCCAACCAAGCACACUAUGCCUUUAGCAGGUGGUGACUUCCCAAGCUAAAAAUGUAGGAUCCGUGUGAUGCAGAGAUGAGUCACCACACCUCACACAGCAAUAGGCUCUUUGGUGAAAGAAAAGUGGGUGAGCUGGUGCUUGCAGGUCUUCCUCUAGCAAGCUGGGUAGACAUGAUUUCCUUUUCACCAAAUCUUUCUCCCCCCACCUCUGUUUUCAUUAGCAAAAAACCUGCUUACUGACUCUGACCUACAUUUGCAAUAGCUCCAGAAUGCAACACAACUGUGUUUCUGGGGAAUUUGCUAUUUGCUAAAAAUUUUAAUCCAAGCCAUUUUGAAAUGUUAUAUGUUAACUGAGCAAACACAGCAAUCAGAAAAGUACACAAACCCCAAGCAAUUGUCCUGGACUUGUUUACAACACACUGCUAUUAAUGAGCAUCUGGGAUGAGUAUGGGAUCUUGUACUAUGGAUCUCAUGAUCUGUACAAUAAUGGCUGAUUUUAAUUGACUUUUGCUUCAUAUAGCAAAUCCCAAUUGGAGAAGUUCCAGGAUGCUGCUAGUGAAGAACUGUGGGCGGGUGCAUGUUUUGAAGUGAUGGUAAACAUUGUGACAUAUACUGUGUGUACCACAUAUUCUCAUAUGCACAUUUUGACUUUUGUUGCCUUGGCUUUCACACAGCAUUUCUAACAUAGACAUUCCUAUUUGCCAGUUUGAGUGGAAAUCUGUUAAUAUGUGAAUACUGCUCGCCAGCAUGUACCAGCAUGGCUGGACUCUCAGUCCCACAGAACACGCAGCCCUGCGUGCUCAGAGGGGCUCCACAGGACUGCGGCAUCUGUGCGAGCAAGACUGGCAGAGCUGUGCAAAUGAGGAGUGAUGAGAGCUGCUAUGAGAAACCAUAACUUUGAGAACAUGCAACUCAGCUCAGUAUGAUCCACUAAUUCCCAAUGAAGCCAUCUGUGAUGGUAACUAAAAUGGGAACGGAACAGGAUUCACUUUGGAGCGCCCGUCACAAGUGCUCCCCUCCGGCGCGUGCUGCCAGCAGCAGCAUCUCUCCCAAGAUCAUUCCCAAGAUGAUUUGUAGGAGCCUGCCUGGCCAUGUUCCUGUGUGAUAAACCUGGUGAGCAACCUACUCAUGUGAGGCCAGAGAGCAUCCAGGAUUCCCCAAAGGAGGCAGAGGAAUCCCUGCAGAGCUCCUCAUGUGUCCCCACAGGGCAGGACUCAAGAUUUGGGAAAAACCUUCCAUGCCUUUGUUAACUCACCCACAAAAUGAGCAGACUGGUGCAGUGGAGCCCCUCUCUGACACAGCCAACUCUUGUCCCAGCCAGGUGAGGCUGUGCCAGGCAGGGCAGCCUGGCAAUCCUGAGACAUAACAGGAAGCUGUACCUCCCCAAGAUGGCCUGGAAGUUCCAGGUAAUCACAGUAUGGAGCAUAAUGUGGAUUUAUACUUGUUACUUUACUUUUCUAUGGUACCUCCCAAGAGUCUUCUGAGGCAUUCCAUUCUUUAAUAAGCUGAAAGUGCUCCGAGAUUUUUCUAAUGAAAAUGAUAUAGGAGCACACAGUGUUAUUAUUAAAACCUUUCUUUUUCUCUAGGAACUGCUAAAAUACAUUUACAGUUUAUAUCCUUUUUG